UACGUAGGGGGCAAGCGUUGUCCGGAAUUAUUGGGCGUAAAGCGCGUGUAGGCGGUCCGGUAAGUCGGCUGUGAAAGUCAAGGGCUCAACCCUUGAAUGCCGGUGGAUACUGCAGGGCUAGAGUCCGGAAGAGGCGAGUGGAAUUCCUGGUGUAGCGGUGAAAUGCGCAGAUAUCAGGAGGAACACCGGUGGCGAAGGCGGAUCUCUGGGCCGAUACUGACGCUGAGGAGCGAAAGCGUGGGGAGCGAACAGG
rnacentral:rRNA from 1 species